GAUGAAGAACGUAGCGAAAUGCGAUAAGUAGUGUGAAUUGCAGAAUUCAGUGAAUCAUCGAAUCUUUGAACGCACAUUGCGCCCCAUGGUAUUCCGUGGGGCAUGCCUGUUCGAGCGUCAUUUACCCCCUCAAGCUCCGCUUGGUGUUGGGCGUCUGUCCCGCUUCGCGCGCGGACUCACCCCAAAGGUAUUGGCAGCGGUCGUGCCAGCUUCUCGCGCAGCACAUUGCGCUUCUCGAGGCACCGGUGGGCCCGCGUCCAUCAAGCUCACCCCCCCAGUUUGACCUCGGAUCAGGUAGGGAUACCCGCUGAACUUAAGCAUAUCAAAAGCGGAGGA
rnacentral:misc_RNA from 1 species